rnacentral:rRNA from 1 species
UCAGACCCGUGGCAAAUAGCUCAGUAGCACGUGGCCAAUCUACCCUCCGGAUCAGCACACCCUCGGGAAACUGAGGCCAAUUCUGUAUACGGCUCCCGACCUGGAAUGGUGGGAGCCCGAAACGCUCCGGCGCCGGAGGAUGAGGCUGCGGCCGAUUAGGUUGACGGUGGGGUAAUGGCCCACCGUGCCGAUAAUCGGUCUGGGUCAUGAGAGUGAGAACCCAGAGACGGAAUCUGAGACAAGAUUCCGGGCCCUACGGGGCGCAGCAGGCGCGAAACCUUUACACUGCACGCCAGUGCGAUAAGGGGACCCCAAGUGCGCAGGCAUAGUGCCUGCGCUUUUCUGGACUGUAGGGCGGUCCAGGAACAAGGGCUGGGCAAGACCGGUGCCAGCCGCCGCGGUAAUACCGGCAGCCCAAGUGAUGGCCGCUGUUAUUGGGCCUAAAGCGUCCGUAGCUGGCCGCACAAGUCCGUCGGGAAAUCCGCCCGCUCAACGGGCGGCCGUCCGGCGGAACCUGUGUGGCUUGGGACCGGGAGGCCUGAGGGGUACGAUCGGGGUAGGAGUGAAAUCCUGUAAUCCCGCUCGGACCGCCGAUGGGGAAACCACCUCAGGAGAACGGAUCCGACAGUGAGGGACGAAAGCCAGGGUCUCGAACCGGAUUAGAUACCCGGGUAGUCCUGGCCGUAAACGAUGCUUGUUAGGUGUGACUCCCACUAUGAGUGGGUGUUGUGCCGUAGGGAAGCCG